CCGAAAGGCGUAACUAAUGGACAACGGGUUAAUAUUCCUGUACCAUUUAUUACUGGUAUCGAGGGACGGAGAAGGCUAAACCAUCCGGAUGUUGGUUACCGGUUUAAGCGUUAAAGGUGUUGAGAAACGGAGAAAACGUUUUGAGCUAAGGCGUGAAUACGAGAUACUAAGGUAUCGAAGUGGUUGAAGUCAUACUUCCAAGAAAAGCUCGGAAUAUCAUAAGUAAUAAAUGCCUGUACCUUAAACCGACACAGGUAGGUAGAUAGAGUAUACCAAGG
rnacentral:rRNA from 1 species